CACUCCAGCCUGGUGCCUGGCGACAGAGCAAGACUCUGUCUCAAAAAAACCCUGCAUUUGUUUUUCUGAUCUGUGGGCAGAAGCAUGAGCCUGCACAUCCAGCUGUGUGUCUCUCGCCAGCCUUCCUCUCAUCAGGGAAACCAUCUCCGUUAGACAGGCGGCCUCCAGAGGGAUGGGAUCGAAUGUGUGCUCUUCCCUCAUGAUGGGAGGUACCCGGGGUUCCUGUCCUGCUGCUUUGUGUGUGACUGGACUCUGAGAAGUGCAUGUCCCUCACGUCCUCGUCGCUGGCAGGUGAUGGAUUCAGGCCUGCGGUGGGAGGGGCGCUGCCCAGCAGGAGCUGUAUGGACAGGAGCCUCAGUGAGCCUGCUGGAUGGCUUGGCCUGCCUGGGCCUGUCCACAUUCACAGUCCAGUAGAGGCAGACCUUUUAUUCUUCCAUGCCUGCCACAGUACAUUCAGAUAUCUGGCCACAGGCAGAAGCAUGGGCUUUCCCUCUUCCAGGCCUCUGUAUUCUUUUGCUCCCUCCCCACCCCCUGGCCAGCACCCACCUGGUGUCAACCCGCUGCACAUGUGAGCACACUCCUGGUGGUGGGUGAGUCCUGGCGGCCCCGGCCACCCCGGGAAUCUGUAGGACCCUCAUGGAAUGCGCCUGCGCAGUCCCUGCCCCUUCCAGCUGGCUCUGGAACUGGAAGGAAGAUCAGGGAGCUGCCUAUCCACAAACCCAAUUUUAUCCUUGGGGUGGGGUUACAUGCCACCUCCACUCUGCCCAGUUGGUCAGUGCCAGCAGCACUCCCUGCCCCCUCAAGGUCCAGAUACCCUGAAGCCUCGGGAAUGCCUGUCCGCAUCUCUGGCUUUCCUCCUCCUCCCUGUGGUCCAUGGGCCUGACUCGCACGUGGGAAGCCUGAGGGUGGGAGCAGAGAGACUGUAGCGUGUGAGCCGAGGAUGGUGCCUCCUGCCCCUAGGGAGGCAAUGGCGUGGCCUGACGGGCUCGUGGGUGGCAAAAUGGACCUUCUGAGGACAGGUCCCAGCAGCCACCUGUUCUGUUCCCCAGAGUGAGAAGGGUAGAGGCAGCCGGUUUCAGCCCCACCCAGUAUCCCUGCCAGGAUCUCUGCCAUGACCAAGGCCUCAGCCGAGCCUUCAGCCUUCUUGCGGACACAUUGUGUUUUCUGCUUUCUUGCUCAGCUCUUCAUGUCACACAGCCUCUGGUGGCAUGCCUGUGCCCUUGCUGAGGCCUCUGGGUGCAGAGACUCCCAUCAGGGCCUUCCCUCAGGCAGGGCAGGUCUCCCGGCCUCUCCUGCCUGAAUGGCCAUUUUCCGGAAGCAGCCUUCCUGUUCCUGGUCUGUGCUCUUUGUGACUCUGUGCUGAUGAGCAGGUGUUUCAUGAUCCCUGAACUGCCUGGGUCUUUCAUGGUGUUCCUGCCUCCUCUACCCUCCCACUCUAGCACCAGCACUGCGUUUCAGAGACUCUAAGCUUGGAUAGCCCUGUCAGGUUUUAGCAGCGCCAUUUGGGAGAUGAGAGGUGGCUGAGCUGCUGAUGACAAAUGCGAUUCAGUGACAGAAAUGCAAAAUAAUUAGUCUGGGACCAGAGAACUACAAAGAACAUAUGCAGACUGGGACAAUCUUUUGGUUUCAUGAGAAACACAUUGAUUUAGAAAUAAUCUGGGGGAUGGCAUCAGUAGCUCCUAAACGGGUGAUGAGAGCCUGAGUUGAUUAUGAGUUGAAGUAGCAUGCUCACCUCCUUGUAACCAAUGACCGUGAUUCAAAAAGCGUUUUAUUUAUUGAAUGCCUCUUGGUGUCUGGGCCUUUCAUCCAUUCAUUCUUAUCAUGAAGUACUUAGAGGUCCACACUACCUUAAUCUCUCAGGUGCGAGCCAGUCUCUUGCUUGAGGUCGCAGCUGCUGGUUGGAGCCAGUUCAGACCUGCUCCAGGGCCGUUGCCAGCUGCGUGCCGGCAUGGGUAGUGGGGUUCGGAGGCCGCAGCACCUCUACCCCAGACUUUCUCGUUCCUAGCAGGCCUCUGCUCCCCUGACACUGGGAAUCGGGCACUGACACCCACAGUGCCGGCUGCUCUCGUGCGUUUCCUGGAGUGCAGGGGUCUUUGGUGGGUGUGAGGUUGUAGUCGCAGGUGUGUUCCUGUGGGUCUCAGACCUCUCGCAGUUCCAUGCCACCCAAGUGCCUUCUCCAGCCCAUCUCCUCCUUUCCAGGCUGCUGCCUUUCCCCAGUCUAGACCCCCAGUUGUUUCUGCUCCCUCCCUCAUGCCCAUCUAUUCCUGGUUCCUGACAUCUGGCCCUUGGUCCUUCCUGCCAGUGUGUGUGGCCUGAGGCCCUCUCCUUUGUGUGCAGCUGCUGCUCCAUGGCACAGCCCAGGGCACCUUUCCAAGAGGCUUUGUGUCCAUCGCCCUCAGGAGAAUCCUCCCUGGAUCAAACGUGCCAUGCUGUCCCUGCCAGCCUCUUAGCCCCAGCUCCUCCUCUGCUCUUUCCCCUGCCCUUUGGGUGCUCCCUUGCGGGCCCCACUCCACAGCCUCCUGUGUCUUGCUGGGGCUCUUUGGGGUGCCGCUCCUUUGUACCCCGUGAUCACUUCAGAUUUGCGUCCAUCUCCUCCUCAUUGUAAGCAGGGUAGGGCGGGGAUGUCUUCUCUGCGGCACUUCAAGACUGGCAAAGGCCCGUGGGCUCACGCCAGUCCCAAGCACUGGAACAAGCCGGUCAGGCCAGCACUGUGCAAGACUGUCCUCAGAGUGGGUUUGUUAAGAGGCCCCCUCCAGUAGGAUGUUCACAUGUCCUCAUCCCACCCUCAUCUGCUCUGCCUUUCCCUGGGCAUGCGGCCUUGGAUGUGACUCAGCCCGGUGGCUUUCUCCCAGGUUCUCAGUUGUAAUCUGCCAUUGUUUGAAAUGUCCUAUUGGCAGUGUGAAGGGGGGUUAUUUAUUCUCAGGUCUGUGGUUUCUAAUGAAGCCUGACCCACAGGGACAGUGUCAGUGAGCACCUGGUGGGUGGAGGCUCGUGGCUCACUGUGCGGCUGAUGACAGGCAUAAAAGCUGCCCAGUGAUCACUCUGCCUCCUUGCAGAAGGAACCUACUAAACUUGCGUGGGUUUUUUUUUUUUUUUUUUUUUUGAGAGUUUUAAAACUCUUGAGUGCCAGAAGAGGCCAGUCCUCAGAGAUGCUCUUCAGCCUCCUCACUCUUUCAGAGCUGGGUCAGGCCUGGUGUGUGCUUGGUGUCCAGGAGGCCGGCAGUAUCGGCUGAUGUCUGUUCUUAGUGACCACUUGGUGCACAUUCACUGUGCCUCGCCUGAGCUGCCGGGUCAGGUGUCCCCAGGCCUGAGAAGGGAGAUGGCUCUGCAGCUGUGCACAGGACCUCCAGGCUCCUGCGGUGUGUGGGCUGGGGGCCUCCAGUGAUCUGGUCCACAUUUGCUGUGUGCCUGAGUGCCUGUGCGUUUAUUGAAAAUGGAAUUUGAAGCUGCCUUUGUUACCACCCUUUUCUAGGUGGAGUCUUCAACCUGGGGCCCUCCAAGGGUUGUUCUUUGUAGGUUAUUCCUGUCCAUGGGCUGCACUCUGGGCCUUGCAUGUGUCUGUUCUUGGCUCUCGAGGCACUCUCCUUCAGCCUCUUGCCAGGUCUUUGCUGGAACCGGGGCCAUGUGGUAGGGGUGCCAUCCCUCGCCCAGCAGGAAGUGGCAGUGAGGACUGAAGCCUGGGCCUGUCCUCGAGUCCACUGCUCCAGCGCCGCAGGCCUCAGCCGCCUGUGGAAAGCAGCCCACGGAAGAUGACCCCUCGCUAGGAGGCCGCCUGGCUGUGCUCGUUUUCUUGCCUGCAACACUGUAAACGUGAGGAGGCCCAGGGGCUGCGGGCCAGGGGUUGAUUGGCUGCAUCUCAGAUGCCAGUGUUGGCUCGCUCUUAAACAGACACUUAAGCUGACUUUUGUCCAUUCUUCUGAUUUUAAAGCAGUACAAAUGUCAGGAGCCUCUCUUGAUAUUGUCUCCCCAGUUUGUUUUUAAGAGCUGUGGUAAGUGAUCCUAGGAAGCCCUCAGCUGGAGGUAGGACCUCAGACUGAUCUGCAGUUUCUGGAGCAUUCAUGCUGCCCGGCGCUUCUGGGUGCUUGCCUCUGAGUGAGAGGGCCCAUGGUUCACUGCCCUGUUUAGAGUUGUCAGAAACCUCAAGCCAGCCUCCUGCCAGUGAGGUUCUGCCUCACCUGGUGGGAGUUGUAGCUGGAAUGGGUUUGGCACCUGGGCAGGUGAGAAUUCGUAAAUGUUCGCAGGAUAUCUCAGAUGCCAUGUUACAGUUUUGUCCUGAGAGUAUGGUGGAGCUCGCUCACCAGGCUGCAGAGGCAUCACUGCCUGCCACUGAGCUGUUGUCCAGGGCACAUGUGGGGCCAGUAUUAGGAGGAAGGAUCUGUGGGCGACUCAUCUCAGGGCUGCUGUUUGUCCUCUUUGUCCCCAGCCAGGCAUCUGUCCCGUCAUCAAGGUCAUGGGAAAGGGCACCACACCCACCUGCUCUGUUGGCACCUGCCUCAUGGUGCCACUCCCACCCUCAGGUCCAGGACCUGCUAGAGGACACCUGGCAACUGUGGCAGUGACUUGUCCUGCCACUGCUGUGCCGCUGGUGUGCCUCAUAACCUGGGGUCUGAUGUGACCUUUCUAUGGCAGGUCCUGCACCUGUAAAGUGCAGACCUGGGGACAGGGACUUUUAGGGUUGCUGUGAGGACUCAAUUGUUAGUGCAGGCAGGGAGCCCAGCAUGGGGAGGGGCCCAGGAUGUGGAGCUGAGACCACCUGCAUCCUCGAAUCUCUGUGUGUCUCCUGCCCUGGAGCUGAGGGGCCGCUGCCACUGCCUCUGUCCUUGGCCACCUGUAGCUCCUGCACCCUCCUCAAGCCCCAGAGAGGCCUGCUGGCAUCCCUGGCAGAGACCUGGCAUCCUCCCUCACCCGGAGGUGCCUCUGUUGUGCGGUGUGACCGUGCUUGGCACUGAGGAAGUGGAAUGGCUGGAAUUCCAGGUGGAAUGGCUGUCUCCUGACCCAGAGGAGGGUGGGGCAGGGGUGCUGUGGGGUGGGGUGGGUUGGGCCCGCCCCUCCCAUGGUGUAUGAAGACCCGUCAGUUCAGCCCCUGGGGAGUUGUGGAGCCCCAGAUGCUCCUUGCUGAGCACAGAGAGAGAGCUUCAUGACCUCCUCUCUGCCGGAGUCCUCCUACCCAUCCUGUCCCCACCGCGACCCUGGGCAGUCUGUCUCUGUUGGCUGGGGUAGACAAUAUGCAGGCCGGCUGUCCGAAUUGGUUCCAUGCUCUGUGGCAGUUCCACAUCCCUGUGUUUGUGCAUUUUGCUCCUGUGCGAGGCUCUUCAGAGCCCUUGUGCCCCUGGAGUGUUGGAAGAGGCCUGUAUGGGUGGGCCUGCCUGUUCUCCGGGUCUCGAUCCUAGUGGGUCCUGCACUUCUGCCCUGUGGCCUGCCCCUCCUGCCUUGCUGCUCUGCAGGGUGAGCAGGGGCGUGGAGAGCUAGGGGCUCCUGGCCGCAUCUGUACUGGGGCUACUGGGGCCUUCGCCUUGCUCCUGGAGGUUUGUGCGCAGCUUCCCCACCUAGGGGAGGAGCCCUGCUCGAAACCGAUUUCUUGUCCUGGGGCCAUCGCUUUUGUGCAGGGCUUUGCAGGGCCCUGGUGUAUUUGAAGAAGCUAAAAAGCCCUUGCCACAGUGGAAAGGGGUGCUGGCUAAUUGGCAGCUUUAUUUAUUUAUUUCUGGCUGAGUGGUAAACAGCGCUGAUUCUUCGCACAGCGGGAACAGAUUGGGAGGCAUUUACCUGAUUGAUUCCUCACCUGCAGUGCCGCGCUGCCAGAGGAUCUAUCGAUUCGGCGCCACCUGCCAGGCCCACUCUGAAACAGGCUUAAUUGCCUCCGACUCGUUUCCUGAGAUGGCACGUCCUGGGCGUCCUCGCCUGGAGGCUGCUGCCUCUGGGGGUGUUGACGCCUCUCUUGUGUGCCCUUGGUGGGUCGUGUGCUCCUUGGGUGGACUGGGGUGCUCUCCUACAUGGUAGGGAAGGAAACCCAACUGUUACCAGCUCAAGCACAAACAGAGCCCACCUGGUGUCAGCUGUGCUCACACAUAGGACCAGGUGCUCGCCAGUGCCCUCUGUCCCACACCCCAGCCCAGUUUCGCUUGCUGGGAGCCCUCCUGCAGCGUCACUGGGUUGUGACGUGCAGUUUCAUCUCAGUCCCUGAGCCAGUUGAGCUCUCCUGCUGCUCUCUAAGCCACACUCAGCAGAAGAGAGGCAGGCGAAGUACCGGCCGCCUUGUUUGUACGCUUCCCUACCAGGGCAAGACAGGCAGAUGGUGGCGGGGGGGGAAGCUUACCUGGGAGGGGUGCUGGGUGGGCUGCGGCCGUCACCACCUACACAGACGCCAUGGCGGCACAUGUGCAGCUCUGGAUGCAUCCUGCCCUGUGACUUCCCAGCUGCGCCUGGGGGUGUGCGCAUCAGCCUCACACCAACACCAUGGCGGCACAUGUGCAGCUCUGGACACAACCAUGUGACUUCCCAGCUGUGCCUGGGGGUGAGCAUUAGCUCCAUCACCUGUGCACCUGCACAGCUGGCAGGCAUGGCCCCAGCACUGGAGCUGACUUGCUGUCUUCUCUGACCAAGGCCGUAUCCUUCUUGCCUCUCACCUGCCUGGAGAAGGCCAGAGUCAGCUCCUUGGUUUAUGGUUCCAGGACCUGGUGAUUGGCUGCUUUAAGUGAUAGUUAUCAAGGAGCUAGAGAAUAUUUUAAGACACUUUGAGCUGUGAGAUUCAGUGAGGCACAUGAGGUGGACAGGUCUGACAUGGGCAGUCUGAGCAUUUCCCCAGCCCGCUGGCCACAUGCAGGGUGGCCACUGCUCCGACCUCUCUUAGUGAUGGCUUUCCUGUGGAUGACAUGAGGCAGUUCUCCCUGUCCCUCCAGACUCCCCCAGGAAGCCACUGUUAAGACUCGAGGCCUUUUUCCAAGAGUUUCUCUGUCCCUCCUGUUUCCCUGUCCCUGCUCCAGAAGCCACUGUUAACACCCAGGGUCUUUUCCCCAGUGUGUUGGCACAUCUUGGCUCCCUGGCCCUUCUGUGCCCCUCUGCCGGUUCCUCAGGUGUCCACUCAUCCAAGCCCAUCUGGCUGCUAUAUGGGCCUGCAUUCCUGUUGUGCCAGCCCCUGCCUGGUGCUGGAGAGGAUGGAGAGUGAGGCAGACAGAUCUCAUCAUCUGGAGUAUACAGGCCUGCAAGGGAGGUUGGAUGUCAUUGGGCUCGUAGAGAACUAGGGAAAGGUGUGGGCUUUCCCUCCCUACCCGCCCCUUCCCCACCAGGCUCUGGUGCCAGAGGCUGAGUUUGGCCAGGUUGGUUCUGGGCCCGAGCAGCCUCCUGCUGGUGACAGUUCCAGGAUGCCCUGAUCCACAGUGUAGUCCUGUUCCGCUCCCUCCCAGGAACCCAGAGGCCUGUUAUUCUGAGGUCUGUGGUUUCUAAUGAAGCCUGAUUCAUGGGGACAGUGUCAGUGAGCACCUGCCUGGCAGUGCACCCCUGGGCACCGUGAAUCUGCUGAUGAGCCUCUUGUAGCAGCUAUGAGGCCGUGCCUGCCACUCCCAGGGGGGCUCCAGGCAGGGCCAUGCUCCUGAGCUCUGCCUGGACCAAGUGUGUGUGGUGUAUUUGCAGCCUCCCUCGUCCCUGCCUGUCCCUGUUGUGCCCGGCAGCUGCUGGUGGCCUGGGUGUGGAGGCCUCUCUCUCAUGCUGAGCAGAGGUUGGGAGAGGGCCCCCUAGGUGGAGGAGCUACAUCUGGGCUCAUCCUCCUGGCAGUGCCCAGUGCCUGCACCUCAUGUGGAAACUGGGCCAAUCAGUGAGUGGGGGACUGAGAUCACGAGGCCUCAGGCAGGAAGGGCCCCAGAGCUGCCUGGUCUAGCUCAUCCUAGUGAAUGCUGUGGCGGGACCCCUGCCCCGGGAGCCCGCACCAGGAGUGUCCUUACAGCAGGGGCUGGUGUGUCUCUGCAGGAGCCCUGCCGUCACCAUGCAACUCCGCUUAGGCCCAGCUCCCUCGAGUCCAAUCGUGCUGUGAUGGCAGCUGCCUGUCUUCCUUGCUGGGCCUCCCUGAGGCCGGGGUCUGUGUCUGCCCUGGAGCAGGUGAAGGGGUGAAGACCUUUCUUGCCCUGCCCUGGAGGCCACACCAGCCUGUUGGGACCCUAUUCUGAUCCCGGCCUGCAGCCUUAGAAACAGAGGCAGCUCCAAGGUUCUGCUCUCCCCCGAGUUCCUCCCGUGAGGGGUUCACAGACUGCCUUCCUGCCUCCUGUCCUGCACCCCUGCUUUUCUUGGCAUAUGCUCUUGUUUACAAGUCUCUCACACAGUGAUGCUCUUAGAUAAUUAUUAUGUUUCUAAAAUGCCUUGGUUUUGUGGUGUUGGGGAAACAAAGCAACAGAACACACAGUCCUGGCUCUGAGGAAGCCUCUGGGUAGGCUGGGCAAGAGUCAGACCCAUGGGGCGCAGGAAGCCUGGCAGAAGGCAGCACCGACGUCUGGGCUUCAGCUUGGCGCCUGCACUGCCAGUGCCUCCUCCUGGUGCCAGGUUCUGGGGAAGCCAUGCAUAUUGCAGUGUGGUGACCCCCAUGGCCACCACCCCAUACUUUCCAGGGUGUGGUGGUCAUAGUCCUGGGCUUUCUCAGAGGAUGGUGCUGGCUAUGGAGGCUGGCCGCUGCAGCGCUGCUUUUGUUAUCAGCUGGGAGAAAGUGAUGGAGGGCGUUGAGCUGGGUGAGACUUUAGGAGGUGUGAUUUGCUGUAACACACAGGCGGGGCUGUUGGGGUGAGCACAUGCCACUGUGGUCAGGCUGUAAGGAAUGGUCCUGAAAGACAGGCAGCAGGGGAAGGGGUACUGUGUUGGGCAAAGCCAGCAGGUGGAGAGGGCCAAGAGAGGAGGAGGCUGCCUCACCACCGACCCAGCAUGAGGCACUUGACUGCAGGAGGCUUUGCUUCAUUUGGAUAAGUGAAAAGGCAGGCGCCACUGGGUCCCAGGGAGAGCCCAGAGGGCCUGAUGGGAGGUUGGAGAGUGUGACCUGGGGCUUCUCCACCCAGGGCUUCUCCACCUGGGGCAUUGCUAGGGAUGUCUUGGGCGAGUCCUGGGAGGAGGUGGAGCGAGGAGUAUGCUGAGGGUAGCUUUUGGGGAAUAAGGAGCUCUUGGUUGGAUGCUUGGAAUGAGGGGAGAUCCGAGAUCAGAGUCAUGGACCCCAGCGAGGAGCCAGUGGGAAAGAGCCCAGGGGUCUGGAACAGUUGUUGCGGGACAUGUGUAGCAGCCCUCUGUAAGCCGCAUGGGUGUGGCCGGGACCAUGCUGGGGGUCCCCUGCUGGACUGGCAGGCUCUCCUUCCUCGGCAGCACUUUGGGUUUCAGGGUACAUUGUCACUCAGCACAGGUUGCCCCCCAGAUCUCCAGCCCUCUGUCCUGCAGCCUUAGCUCACCUGCUGCUAAGUCAAGGGCUUGGAGGCCUCUGACAUCUGCAUGGGGGCCAGAGCACCGGCACGUGCUGUCUCCACAGUCGGGGCCUGAGAGCUGCCUGGGGCCAAAUUGCGCAGGGCUGGGAGGAUGUAAAGAGCUGCUUUUGUGGCAUUGCACAGCUUUGCACAGCUGUAGAGAGUGUGCACCCCACGAUAGCUCCUGCCCAGUGCAUCUGGGUGGGAGGUGGAGGGCUCUCACUCCCGUCCCAAACUAUGUGGCUCACUGUCAGAAAGGGUGUGUGACAGAGACAUGGUAGAGAAGGCGCUACAGAGAGCUACAGCCUGGGAGCUUCUCAUGUCUGUGAACCAGGGAGGGGGCACUCCUCUGGUCACUUCACUUUUUGUUGUUGUUUGUUGUUUGUUUGUUUUUGAGACAGAGUCUCGUUCUGUUGUCUAGGCUGGAGUGCAAUGGCAUGAUCCUGGCCAUUGAACUCGCCAGGAAGCUUGAACUCGCUUCCUGGGUUCAAGCGAUUCUCCUCCCUCAGCCUCCCAAAGUAGCUGGUAAUUAAAGGCACAUGCCAUCAUGCCUGGCUAAUUUUUGCAUUUUUAGUAGAGAUGGGUUUUUACCAUGUUGGUUGGGCAGGUCUCAGACUCCUGAGUUAGUGAUCCGCCUUCCUCGGCCUCCCAAAGUGCUAGGAUUACAGAUGUUAACCAGCACACCAGGCCUGGUCACUUGUUUUGAGGGAAGAAUGGAGAGGGAGGGAAAGGAGGGCACUGGGACAGGAGAAAUUUCAGAGUAGAUGAAACACAGCAGGAGGCCGGGCUGCCUGGUGUGAACCUCCUUGCUUUGUGAAAACACCCCUUUGCCAGCAGCACUGGGCAGCACUCACCCUGUAGCCCUGGAACUCGAGCCCGACAGCUCCUGCUUAUCAGCGCGGGCAUCUGGGAGGCAGACCAUCAUGCAGGGCUGGAUGCUGGGUUGAGCAGGGGGCAGCUGGGUGCAUGGAACCUGUGGCCUUGAUGGAGGACAGCUCAGCUCCAGGUCUGCACUGCAGGUCAAGGCUCAGACACGGGAGGACACUCGCUGGGCACCUCUCCUCUGAGAGCAGGCUGUGACCCACAUGGCUGUGGAAUGCUAGGGAUGUGUUUGUGCGUGCCUCAUGUCACCUGUGAAAUGCCUGUGAGAUGCAAUGUGGGUUUUGGAGGGACGUGCUCAGCUGAUGGCAGUGCCUCAUCCCGAGGGAAGACUGAGCUGAGCCUGCCCUGAGAUGGCACGAACCUGUGGUGGAGGCAGUGUGUGGGCAGGGGCUGGGAGGGACGGCCCUGUUCCUUCACUUCCUGUCACUUGCCCCAGGGAAUUUGGACAUUGAGGACCUGUCACUGACAACAGCCUUGAUAAGGCUUGCUGGGGAGAAAAUACUGGCCCAGCAUGUUGAGUGGUCUGCGUCUUGCCACAUUCAUACCGUGCGCUGCAGAUGCUGGGCAGACCCCUGUGUGCACACGCUUCCACAUGGCCAAGCUCCUGUGGCUCUCACGCAUCACUUGGGGCUGACCUCCUUGCUUCUGGGAGCCUGACGGCAGCACUGGGGGAGGCCCUGCUGGUCAGGAGGGAGGGUUCACCUGCAUAGUGUGCUGGUGAGAUAUGUGACCACUGAUCACACUCUGCGUGUGUCGUGCGUGGGACUGGUUCUGCAGAGGAGCCCCCAGAGUAGGGCUGACACUGUACCCUGGAUGCUGCCCUGUCCACUCCAGUGGAGGGUCUGACAGGCUGCAGCUAAAUGACACCGCUGGCAGCACACUGGCCACUUGGGAUGAGUGUUGGCUGCACAGGGUGGAGGGCGGUUAAGGGACACUGAGCUGGCCUCAUGGGCUGGAGACUUCUAGGGCAGUCAGGCGACCUGAUCCUCUCCUGUCCUGCCCAUUGCUGGAUGCUAGGGAACAUUUGGGGUAUACUUAAGGGGCCAUAACUAUGGAAGGGACUGGGGCCAGGGAUGCCAGUGUCCGGCAGUUGUUGGGAUGUUUGUGGAUACAAGUGAGUUGUUUUGCCCCAAAGGCCAGCAGGGCUCUAUGGAGACACACCCCUCAUGGUUGGGCACUUCCUGAUGCUGUCCUCUCCCCAGCAGGGCUUCUGUCGUCCCCUAUCCUGUGUUUAUUCUCACGCUGCUAGUAAACACAUACCCGAGACUGGGUGAUUCAUAAAGGAAAAUGGUUUCAUUAACUCACAGUUUAUCAUGGCUGGGGAGGCUGCAGGAAAAUGAAAAUCAUGGCGGAAGGGAAAGCAAACACGUCCUUUUUCCUAUGGUGGCAAGAAGGAGAACUGCCAAGCAAAAGGACGAAAAGCCCCUUAUAAAACGGUCACAUCUCUCGAGCUCACUCACUAUCAUGAGAACAGCAACAUUGAACAAAAAGGGGAAAAGCCCCUUAUAAAACAGUCACAUCUCUCAAAAGCUUACUCAUUAUCAUGAGAGCAGCAGUGAGAGGGUAACUACCACCAGGUCCCUCCCAUGACCCAUGGGAAUCAUGGAAACUAAGAUGAGAUUUGGGUGGGGACACAGUCAAGCCGUGUCAUAUCACACCUCCUCAUUGUGAAUUGGCAGCCUCCUGUCAGUUGAGACCACGACCUUGGUGGCGGCCUCCGUUUGUGUGUUUCUCACAGCCUCUAUCUGCACCAGCAAAUGCUUGUGGAGCUGGAUUGCCUGUGAGUUUGCACAGGGGUUGACUUGGCUUGGGAAAAUGCCCUGGGAAUGGGGUGCAGCUUCCCUACAGAGCCUUGCUUCUCCCUGGCAGUGGCCCCUGGGCCUGCCAGGCUGUUCAGCAAGGAGGGACCCGGGGAACGUAGUAUUACAGGAGACUCUUAGCUGCUUCUGGUCUUUCCUGCCUGCUUUGGCUGCCUGCCUGGCUGUCUCUGCCAGCCUGAGCUCUAGAAAAGGCUGUGUUCCCAGUGUCAGAGCCUGGACACCCUCUCUGGCUGCACUGGGAGCUCCCCGAAGUCGGGUUUCCUUGUCUUCAGAUGGUGAUCAGCACUGUGCCAUGCUGGGUGUUUGAUGUGGGCCUUCACUUGUUCAUUGCAGAUACUUCUUCAUCUCCACUGUCUUCUUUGCCAUGAACACACUUCAGGAUCUCCUGGGACUUUGUGCAGCACUGCCCAGGCCUGCAGAGGCAGGGUGCAGACCUCCUUGUACGUGGUGAUGUGCCUGCCUCCUCAGCUAAGGCCCUCUCACGGACUCUGGGACAUCCAGAUGCCAUACUCUCUGCUAGGUCCCAUGGCCUGUCCUGCCUCUUCCUCAGGUCUCUUCUCUGGCUUUUCUGCUCCAGCCAGAUGGACCUGGGCCCCCUGCACCAGUAUGACACAUGACCUGUUACUGCUUUUCCACUAACUGCCACUCCCACAGCUCUGUUUACACACAUGAGCCCCCCCGCGCUGGCCUGCCACGUGUGAGCACCUGGCUUAUCCAGGCCCUGCCCACCUAAGGUCUUGCUGGGGACACCUUGAUUUCCCCGCCCUGGCAUUUGUCAUCUGUGCUGGCUCUCUGGGGGCUUGCUGCUCCAUCGUCCUUCCUGGUGAGAUUCUCAUCUCUUAGAGGACAGAGGCUCCUUGUCGCUCUGUUCAGGAGGCGUUUGUUCCACACCUGCUGUGUGCAGCCCACUUUAGGUGCUUCAGGAACAUGAGAUGAGUCAGGCCUGAGUCUCGUUCGUCCUCCAGCGCUCGGCGCACAUGCAGCUGCCUGCCCUCCAGCUGCACCCACACACUCUACUCCCCAGGCCUGGCUCUUGCUCCCUGUGGUACUGGGAAGGGGGCUUAAGAGGAGCCUGCAGCUAGGACUGCUGGGAGCAGCAGCCGACAUGCCAGUGUGGACAGUGAGGUCCUCUCAUGCCCUUCAGCUCUUUCUAUGGUUGCCUUGGCUCUUAUUUCGUGUUGAGGAAACAGAGGGAUAUUGGUUAGAGUGUGGUUGGUUAAGUGGUGGGCAGUGGGGCUGGGCCCUGUUCCCACUGAGCCUGAUCCCCGCUCCACGGUCUCUGUCAGUGCAGCCCCCUUCUGUGUUGAGGUGGUGGGAUGCUGGCAGGAGAGGGUUGUUGGCCUGGGGCAGGAGGAAUGGGAAGUCAUGACCUGAGAGCUUCUCCCUGCAGCACCCGCCACUGUCCCCUCCUGAUGGCAGUGCCCAGGCUGUGCCUCACUGCAUUCCCUCUGCUCCCACUGCUCCAUGCAGGCCACGAAUGGCAUGUCCUUCUUGUUGGCCAGGAUUCAUCCGGACCUUGGGGGCAGGGCCAUGGUUUCCCUGGAUGUGCCCGUGCGGGAGCCAUGCAGACUGAGUGCCUGCAGCCCUGGUGUCGACACGACAUAUGGAGCCCCCAUCCAGUGCCUCCUCUGACCCCAUGACCCUGGAACAUGCCAGGAUUGCUGGGAAGGGUCCUGAGCCAGCGCCCCUUGCGUCCUUCUGCAUGGGGGCUUCCACAUUGCGUCAGUGGUGGGCCCCAGGUUCUAGGGAGCCCUGGGUCGCGGGCCUAGGAUAGCAGACUGAGCGGGUGCUGCUCCAGCUGUUUGGGCUCUGGCAGGUCUCCCAGGUGCUCCGCUCUUUUCUGCUACACUGGUCCGGAAGGCUCCCUGCUGGUGCAGCAGUGCUCACUGGAAAGCAGGGCUUUGAGGCCCUUGUGUUUGCAAAGCAGAUCCUUACCGAGAGCCCAGAACUACCUGUGGGCCUCAAAAGAUGGGUCUGGCAAGUGUCUUGCGUGAAGGGCCAGAAGGGCUUUGUUGGGUAGGGGGUGGGGUCUCUGUUGAAGAUGCUGAACUCUGCCACUGUGCUAUGAGGGCGACAAUGCUAUUCGUAUUUGAUUCUGUAUGACUGUGCUCCAACAAAACUUU